UUAUUUAUUAAAUGUAGAAAAUGAUAACUAAAGAAAAGGGUUUAACCGAGAGUUCUUUUUGCCUAAAUAUGUAAAAGAACGAAUGAAAAGGGAGAAAGGAAAGUAAAAAUUGAACGAAUGAAGAAAUAACUCAUGCACUUGAAGAUGCUUUUACGUGAAAUUAACUCCACAGAAACAGCAUAAUGGUAAAUAUGAAAAAAAACAUGACUUUAGAUAACAAAUAACCAAAAUAUUUUGUUUUCUUUGACGAACGACUCAAUGUAUUUGAGCUAAAGGAAGCAGACAAAAAUGCACACAGUAAUAUCCUAGUGUGCUAAUGAAAAAUCUAAAUGACAUGAAAGGCUUUGGCCUUAAAAAAAAUUAACAAUUUAGGAAUAUAACAACCCACGUUUGUGUUCACCUAAACGCAUCCCACGUUUCGGAGCAGCUUGAGCCCAGCUGUCUCGUCUCCUUAAACCAGCAGUUGGAGUUGCGAUUAUAGUAGGCUUAGAGGCCGUACUAGCAUAAUUAGCAUACAACGUAUACAUGUACGUUGGAGAUGCAAAGACAGUCGAGGUGGCAAUGGGAGGACCUGCAAACGUGGUAAAUACGGAA